AGCCCGCUCAGAAACUUAAAGGAAUUGACGGGGCCCGCACAAGCGGUGGAGCAUGUGGUUAAUUCGAUGAUACGCGAGGAACCUUACCUGGGCUCAAAUGUAUGUUUGACGUAUUCUGAAAGGGAUACUUCUUCGGACAAUAUACAAGGUGCUGCAUGGUUGUCGUCAGCUCGUGCCGUGAGGUGUCGGGUUAAGUCCCAUAACGAGCGCAACCCUAUCAUUAGUUGCCAUCAGGUCAAGCUGGGGACUCUAAUGAAACUGCCUACGCAAGUAGUGAGGAAGGUGGGGAUGACGUCAAAUCAGCACGGCCCUUACGUCCAGGGCUACACACGUGCUACAAUGGCCGGUACAAAGGGCAGCUACCUGGUGACAGGAUGCUAAUCUCAAAAACCGGUCUCAGUUCGGAUCGGAGUCUGCAACCCGACUCCGUGAAGCUGGAAUCGCUAGUAAUCGCGCAUCAGCCAUGGCGCGGUGAAUACGUUCCCGGGCCUU
rnacentral:rRNA from 1 species